rnacentral:lncRNA from 1 species
AUCUUCCUGACCCAGGGAUCAAACCCAGGUCUCCUGCACUGCAGGCGGAUGCUUUAACCUCUGAGCCACCAGGGAAGGAAUGUUGAGCAGAAUUUAGAGGGGAAAAAAGAAACAAAUCUAUUUCAUUUUGUUUGCUUUCAUUAAAGGACAGCUCACUGUACCACAUCCUUUCAAAUAUAUCAAAAUCAUGACAACACUGAUACGUGAUUUUUCUAUUAUUAAGUUUAUAGUAAUGAUUAUCCUUAUCUCCAAUGUCCAAUUUUAUAAUCCACCAUCUUUAUAGAAUAUGUAUCAUUAAAGAGAUAACUUUUCAAGGCAAGAAUGUUUAGAAUAUAACUCCCAUACUAACAAUGAGGCAGUCUGCACAGUGGAGGUAUCAGCACUUUCCAGAUGCAUUGUAAACAGCAAAUGGCCUGUUCUGAUUAUGAAGCAUUUGUCUUAGAACAUUCCAGCAGUUGGAAUUGGCUUUAGGCAAACAUAUGCCUUAAUAAUGUUGGGAAACAGCUGUGGGCUUCAUGGACCCCCUCAAGGUCUCUUCUAAGCUGAUUCUGUAGCACUAAGUAUCUGAGUGAUUCAAGCUUCAAGAAAAUGGGAGUAGGGUAGGGUGUAAAAAUAAAGUUUCUGGGAUUUCUGGAGCAUACAGUAAAGUACCUUAUGGUAUGAGCUGGUGCUCUUUUAAUGUUGAAGGUGAAAUAGAACUCCGGGAGUUGGUGAUGGACAGGGAGGCCUGGCGUGCUGUGAUUCAUGGGGUCACAAAGAGUCGGACACGACUGAGUGACUGAACUGAACUGAGCUGAAGGACAUCUUUCUUGUUCUUCCAACCACAUUAAACCCUCCAAAGAUUCUAGCUCAUUCAAAGUUUAGAUCAGCAGAAACAUAGAUGAGAUCCACCUAUUAUCUGAGAAUGUUCUCUGGAGAACAGUAAGACUUGGGGAAGAACAGAUUACUCUGAAACCCUUGUCAGAAAACUCAACUUGUGUUUUGUUGCCAAGAAAUGUCACUUUGAAAAGCUCAAGUUGAAAAAUCGGUUCUUUUCUGCUGGAGAUUAUCACGGUCUACAAUAAUUUUUCCAGUGAAGUACAGAAAUAGAUUUUAUUUGGACAAAAUGUUUAACAUACACACAAUUCAAUUUAGAAAUACUUGAUGAGCACUACUUUGUGCUACUUCUUCAGCGAUCAAUGCAGAGCAAUAGAGGAAAACAUCAGAAUGGGAAAGACUAGAGAUCUCUUCAAGAAAA